rnacentral:lncRNA from 1 species
AUGAAAAUUUCUAGAAUAUGAACAAAUUGUAGAUAAACAGGAACCUUUUUACAAGUUCUACUCGUCCAGCAGCGGUUCUGCCUCUUCUUUCUCCUAUAAAAAAUAUCAAGGUAAAAUUUAAUGAGUUUCACCAACUUAAUUAGUAUUUCUGUUCUUUUAACCCAGAUAAGAUUUUAUACAAAACAUACAAUUUGAGACAAAUAUAGUAGUCAUGUUUCAACAUAAAGUUCAUUUAU